CCCUGAGACUUUAAGUCUCCUGAAGGAACGUUAAAGACGAUGACGUUGAUAGGCCGGGUGUGUAAGCGCAGCGAUGCGUUGAGCUAACCGGUACUAAUGAACCGUGAGGCUUAACCUUACAACGCCGAAG
rnacentral:rRNA from 2 species